UGGGGAAUAUUGCACAAUGGGGGAAACCCUGAUGCAGCGACGCCGCGUGAACGAAGAAGGUAUUCGUAUCGUAAAGUUCUGUCCUAUGGGAAGAUAAUGACAGUACCAUAGAAGAAAGCUCCGGCUAAAUACGUGCCAGCAGCCGCGGUAAUACGUAUGGAGCGAGCGUUAGCCGGAAUUAUUGGGCGUAAAGGGUACGCAGGCGGUUUAAUAAGUCGAAUGUUAAAGAUCGGGGCUCAACCCCGCAAAGCAUUGGAAACUGAUAAACUUGAGUAGUGGAGAGGAAAGUGGAAUUCCUAGUGUAGUGGUGAAAUACGUAGAUAUUAGGAGGAAUACCAGUAGCGAAGGCGACUUUCUGGACACAAACUGACGCUGAGGUACGAAAGCGUGGGGAGCAAACAGG
rnacentral:rRNA from 1 species